ensembl:lncRNA
GUUGGAUGGCAUCACCAACUCAAUGAACGGGCUGCUGUAUGACCUUGGACCAAUCAUUCUCCAGCUCUGGGCCUCCAGCUUCCCCGCCCCACCACACCAGGGACCUUCAGGGACUCUUCCCACUCUUGACAGGUGGUCUGACGAUGGCACUUUCCCCUUCUGAGGCCACCUGAGCAGCCAGGAGGAUGAUCCGGUACAAGUCACUUCUCUGAACCUUCCUUUCAUCACCAAUUAUUGUUUUCCAAAGACAGUUAUAAUUUUGGGGUCAUCAGCAUUCAUUUCUUUUUCUUAUGGCAUCAACCUCUGAUUUUCUUCAGGGGAAGCCCCCUCCCCCACCUCAGCCUCGGGCAGUAGAUGGAGUUGAAACUACCCCUGACUACAAGGGGACGAGAGUGACUAAGCCAGGCCCAGACCUGCAUUCCAUCCCCUGAGCCUCCACUGAACUGUCCAGAGGGUAGUCAUGUAGCCCCGUUUCAGUCACCAGCAGUUGGG